rnacentral:rRNA from 4 species
UUGACCUCAAAUCAGGUAGGAUUACCCGCUGAACUUAAGCAUA